GAUGAACGCUGGCGGCGUGCCUAAUACAUGCAAGUCGAGCGAACAGACGAGAGUGCUUGCACUCUCUGACGUUAGCGGCGGACGGGUGAGUAACACGUGGGUAACCUACCUAUAAGACUGGGAUAACUGCGGGAAACCGGAGCUAAUACCGGAUAAUAUUUAGCUUCGCAUGAAGCAAUAGUGAAAGACGGUUCUGCUGUCACUUAUAGAUGGACCCGCGGUGUAUUAGCUAGUUGGUGAGGUAACGGCUCACCAAGUCAACGAUACAUAGCCGACCUGAGAGGGUGAUCGGCCACACUGGGACUGAGACACGGCCCAGACUCCUACGGGAGGCAGCAGUAGGGAAUCUUCCGCAAUGGACGAAAGUCUGACGGAGCAAUGCCGCGUGAGUGAAGAAGGUUUUCGGAUCGUAAAACUCUGUUGUAAGGGAAGAACAAGUACGUUAGUAACUGAACGUACCUUGACGGUACCUUACCAGAAAGCCACGGCUAACUACGUG
rnacentral:rRNA from 1 species